GACGGGACCCGCACAAGCAGCGGAGCGUGUGGUUUAAUUCGUUGCUACACGAAGAACCUUACCUGGGUUUGACAUAUAGGUUGUAGGGAACUGAAAAGGGACCGACCUUCGGGGAGCCUAUACAGGUGUUGCAUGGCUGUCGUCAGCUCGUGUCGUGAGAUGUUCGGUUAAGUCCGCUAACGAGCGCAACCCUUGCUGUGUGUUACAUGUGUCACACGGGACUGCCGGUCUUAAACCGGAGGAAGGUGGGAUGACGUCAAGUCAGCAUGGCCUUUAUGUCCUGGGCUACACACACGCUACAAUGGCCGGUACAAUAGGUUGCGAAGCCGCGAGGCGGAGCCAAUCCUCAAAACCGGCCUCAGUUCAGAUUGCAGGCUGCAACCCGCCUGCAUGAAGAUGGAGUUGCUAGUAACCGCAGGUCAGCUAUACUGCGGUGAAUACGUUCCCGGGGCUU
rnacentral:rRNA from 1 species